AUAAUAGGUCUAAUAGUUUAGAUGAUCAUUAGAGGUGCCACAUGCCUCGUGCUCAUCUGGCUGUCAGAAUUAUCAUUCAUAAUAUGUUGAUUUAGUUGUAUCUUUCUGAUAAUAGUCAGAUUGAUCGAGCCACACUCGGAUCUGAUCACUUAUUUAUCAGAUACACUAAAUUCUGAUAUAUUAAUGGUUGGACCUAAUCAGAACUUUCAGUAGAGGUGCCACAUAUCUGUUGAAAAGGCAUCUGGGGCA
rnacentral:lncRNA from 1 species